UGGUAGAGGGUAUUAGGAAAAAUAAUACAUGCAUUAGGAAGGUGUAUUAGUAAUACAUUGUUUGUUACAUUUUUUUUGGUCAUGUAUAACUAAUGCAAGCAUUAGUUAUACACAAUAUUGUGUAUUAAGUUGUGUAUUACUAAUACCAAGAAAUUCUAGGUAUUAGUAAUACAUAGCAUUUUAACACUUACAUUAAAUUAUGUAUUUACAAAAGUACCCUCAAAACCCUUUAAAAGAACAUUUUCCAUAGUACUUGUUUCAUCUUCUCUUUCAUCUUCUUUGUACUUUGUCAAAGAAAAUUCAAGAGUAGAUUUUUCUUCCUUUUGCUCAAUCAAACAUUGUUUGCUCAUCUUCCUAAGGUGUUAAUAUGGAUCUUCAACCAUUAUCAGGUAUUGAAUAUAUUAUUCUUGUGGAGAUAGUGUUUCAGCAAGUUCUUGUUCUCAUUUUUUGUCUUUUCAUGGCUAGUCAUGGUCAUUCUCUAAGAAGACGAUGUCGAAACAGACGUGAGGUUAGAUAUCAUAUGAGUGUUCGAGUUCCGAAAA